CCAGCGGAGGAAGCCUUCCAGUCACGUGAUUCUAAGGCAAGGGCGGGAUUCAUUUGAGCGACUUCGCUUUAUAUGCGAACCUGCGAGCGAGGCGAGGAAGUGAGGCUCUCGACUCGGCUGGGAGGAAACCAGGAUUCUUAGCGAAGCUGUCACGGAGAGGGGCAGGUAAAUUGCGGUUAAUUCACAUGUCAUCCGAAAGUGUGAUAGUUACCGUUCGUCUUGUUCGCUCUUUUGAGCAUCGUAAUUUCAGACCAGUUGUGUACCAUAAUGUUAACCUGGACCAGACUGUAAAAGAAUUUAUUACAUUUGUGAAGAAGGAUAUCACAUCAAGGACAGAACUUUUGCCGCCUUUCAGAAAAUAUACCUAUG